UGGGGAAUAUUGGACAAUGGGCGAAAGCCUGAUCCAGCCAUGCCGCGUGUGUGAAGAAGGUCUUCGGAUUGUAAAGCACUUUAAGUUGGGAGGAAGGGCAGUAAGCGAAUACCUUGCUGUUUUGACGUUACCGACAGAAUAAGCACCGGCUAACUCUGUGGCAGCAGCCGCGGUAAUACAGAGGGUGCAAGCGUUAAUCGGAAUUACUGGGCGUAAAGCGCGCGUAGGUGGUUCGUUAAGUUGAAUGUGAAAGCCCCGGGCUCAACCUGGGAACUGCAUCCAAAACUGGCGAGCUAGAGUAGGGCAGAGGGUGGUGGAAUUUCCUGUGUAGCGGUGAAAUGCGUAGAUAUAGGAAGGAACACCAGUGGCGAAGGCGACCACCUGGGCUCAUACUGACACUGAGGUGCGAAAGCGUGGGGAGCAAACAGG
rnacentral:rRNA from 1 species